rnacentral:rRNA from 1 species
UACGUAGGUGGCAAGCGUUGUCCGGAAUUAUUGGGCGUAAAGCGCGCGCAGGCGGUCCUUUAAGUCUGAUGUGAAAUCUCGCGGCUCAACCGCGAGCGGUCAUUGGAAACUGGGGGGACUUGAGUGCAGAAGAGGAAAGUGGAAUUCCACGUGUAGCGGUGAAAUGCGUAGAGAUGUGGAGGAACACCAGUGGCGAAGGCGACUUUCUGGUCUGUAACUGACGCUGAGGCGCGAAAGCGUGGGGAGCAAACAGG